CAUUUCCGCAUUCGGUAUGGGUAGAUAUUGACGGCGCAGACUUGCAGUGUAGCGCAUGGCGUGAUCGUACCCACGAAACACCUGAGUGAUUGCAUGUGUUGCGAGGUUCCCUAGUGCUGCUUCCAGACUACUUUUAUUCCAAAUUAAUAAAUG